rnacentral:rRNA from 1 species
CUUCGUCUGAUCUGGGACAUCCGCCUCCCCCUAAAGAUUCGGAUCUUUCUUUGGCAAUGGAUCCGCGGCCGCCUCCCGACCGGCGUUGAGGUUCUUAAGCGCCAUGGUCCUGGCGAUGGAAUGUGCCCCAUGUGUGGCACGGUAGAGGACGCUAAUCACAUCUUCUUCUCUUGCUACACGGCACAGUUCCUUUGGUCUUGUUUCCGCGAGACGGUUGGGGGACAAUGGUGCAACACCAACUUCCCUGACUUGCUUGCGGAAAUUCAAGCCUCCCCCUCGCUACAGACAUAUUAG